rnacentral:rRNA from 1 species
AGCGAACGCUGGCGGCAGGCUUAACACAUGCAAGUCGAACGGGCACUUCGGUGCUAGUGGCAGACGGGUGAGUAACACGUGGGAACGUACCUUUCGGUUCGGAAUAAUCCAGGGAAACUUGGACUAAUACCGGAUACGCCCUUCGGGGGAAAGAUUCAUCGCCGAUAGAUCGGCCCGCGUCUGAUUAGCUAGUUGGUGAGGUAAUGGCUCACCAAGGCGACGAUCAGUAGCUGGUCUGAGAGGAUGAUCAGCCACAUUGGGACUGAGACACGGCCCAAACUCCGACGGGAGGCAGCAGUGGGGAAUAUUGGACAAUGGGCGCAAGCCUGAUCCAGCCAUGCCGCGUGAGUGAUGAAGGCCUUAGGGUUGUAAAGCUCUUUUGUCCGGGAAGAUAAUGACUGUACCGGAAGAAUAAGCCCCGGCUAACUUCGUG